AAUGAACAAAGGCAAAUCCACCGAAAGGUGGAGACGCAAAGCCACGGGUCUGUAUUCCUUAAAAGGAAAUGAUAGCCGGGUUACUCUC
rnacentral:ncRNA from 1 species